rnacentral:rRNA from 1 species
UGGGGAAUAUUGGACAAUGGGGGCAACCCUGAUCCAGCAAUGCCGCGUGUGUGAAGAAGGCCUGCGGGUUGUAAAGCACUUUCAGUAGAGACGAAAAGCCUAAGGUUAAUACCCUUGAGUCUUGACUUAACCUACAGAAGAAGCACCGGCUAACUCCGUGCCAGCAGCCGCGGUAAUACGGAGGGUGCCAGCGUUGUCCGGAUUUAUUGGGUUUAAAGGGUACGUAGGCGGAAGGCUAAGUCCGAGGUGAAAGCCCCCAGCUCAACUGGGGAGGUGCCUUGGAUACUGGUCAUCUUGAGUGCCGUAGAGGUAGGCGGAAUUCAUGGUGUAGCGGUGAAAUGCAUAGAUACCAUGAGGAACACCGAUAGGGAAGCCAGCUUACUAGACGGUUACUGACGCUGAGGUACGAAAGCGUGGGGAGCGAACAGGAUUAGAUACCCCCGUAGUCC